rnacentral:misc_RNA from 1 species
AAGUCGUAACAAGGUUUCCGUAGGUGAACCUGCGGAAGGAUCAUUAACACUAAUGAAAUCCAAAACCUUUUGGAUCAACCCAACCUUUAGCGAACCGAUCGUUUUUCUUUCUCCUUGCCCCUUUUUUUAUCAAACCCAACUUAUCUGAUGUAAAGUGUCUGAUUUCAUAUAUUCUCCACGACGCCUUGAUUGGCUCGGAGGGAAUCAAAAUCUAACGCAAUACAACUCUUAACAACGGAUAUCUUGGCUCUC